rnacentral:lncRNA from 1 species
GGCGACGCUCUGCGGUCAACAGAGAGGUGGAGGGACUCUCCUCGUCCCGCGGAGGGCCUGACCAGGGGCGGUUGGGGGCUGCGGAGCUUCAGGGCCGCGGGGCGGCCGGUCUCCGGAGGCGGCCAGGAAGGCGGGGGCUCCGCUAGGACCUCUGCUGAAGGAAGGCUUUGAAAGCAAAUAAGACGCUGUGGAAAGUAGAAUGUCAGAAGAUACUGAGGGAAUUGAAAAAGAAAUAGAAGUUGAAUUAAGCAGAAUCAGUGUUUCUUCCUUUGAAGCAGAUGAUCCUGACACAGAGGUAUCAGAUGGAGCUUUGAGUGACAGUGAGAUGAUUUCAGAUGACUUGCCAAAAUCAGUUAUCUCCUAUUUAAACUUUAUAAAGAGCAGAAAUCAAGAUGCUGAAAAGUUUAUACUGCAAGACUUAAAAGAUGAAGAAACUACAGGUAGCAUUUAUGGAGUAGUUUCUUGCCAUGCUUCAGAUUACUUGGCAGAAUUGUCUUCUGAAUAUAAUGAAGAUCCAGAACAAUUAAAAAAAAAG